UACAGAGGUCUCAAGCGUUGUUCGGAUUCAUUGGGCGUAAAGGGUGCGUAGGCGGCGCCGUAAGUCAGGUGUGAAAUUUCGGAGCUUAACUCCGAAACUGCAUUUGAUACUGCGGUGCUUGAGGACUGGAGAGGAGACUGGAAUUCACGGUGUAGCAGUGAAAUGCGUAGAUAUCGUGAGGAAGACCAGUGGCGAAGGCGGGUCUCUGGACAGUUCCUGACACUGAGGCACGAAGGCCAGGGGAGCAAACGGG
rnacentral:rRNA from 1 species